rnacentral:rRNA from 1 species
UACGGAGGAUGCGAGCGUUAUCCGGAUUCAUUGGGUUUAAAGGGUGCGCAGGCGGACUUAUAAGUCAGUGGUGAAAUCCUACGGCUCAACCGUGGCACUGCCAUUGAUACUGUGAGUCUUGAGUAUAGUUGAAGUGGGCGGAAUGUAGCAUGUAGCGGUGAAAUGCAUAGAUAUGCUACAGAACACCGAUAGCGAAGGCAGCUCACUAAGUUAUAACUGACGCUCAUGCACGAAAGCGUGGGGAU